GGGUUGUGAGGUUAAGCGACUAAGCGUACACGGUGGAUGCCCUGGCAGUCAGAGGCGAUGAAGGACGUGCUAAUCUGCGAAAAGCGUCGGUAAGGUGAUAUGAACCGUUAUAACCGGCGAUGUCCGAAUGGGGAAACCCAGUGUGAUUCGUCACACUAUCGUUAACUGAAUACAUAGGUUAACGAGGCGAACCGGGGGAACUGAAACAUCUAAGUACCCCGAGGAAAAGAAAUCAACCGAGAUUCCCCCAGUAGCGGCGAGCGAACGGGGAGCAGCCCAGAGUCUGAAUCAGCUUGUGUGUUAGUGGAACGGUCUGGAAAGUCCGACGGUACAGGGUGAUAGUCCCGUACACCAAAAUGCACAGGCUGUGAACUCGAAGAGUAGGGCGGGACACGUGGUAUCCUGUCUGAAUAUGGGGGGACCAUCCUCCAAGGCUAAAUACUCCUGACUGACCGAUAGUGAACCAGUACCGUGAGGGAAAGGCGAAAAGAACCCCGGCGAGGGGAGUGAAAAAGAACCUGAAACCGUGUACGUACAAGCAGUGGGAGCACCUUCGGGUGUGACUGCGUACCUUUUGUAUAAUGGGUCAGCGACUUAUAUUCUGUAGCAAGGUUAACCGUAUAGGGGAGCCGCAGGGAAACCGAGUCUUAACUGGGCGUUAAGUUGCAGGGUAUAGACCCGAAACCCGGUGAUCUAGCCAUGGGCAGGUUGAAGGUUGGGUAACACUAACUGGAGGACCGAACCGACUAAUGUUGAAAAAUUAGCGGAUGACUUGUGGCUGGGGGUGAAAGGCCAAUCAAACCGGGAGAUAGCUGGUUCUCCCCGAAAGCUAUUUAGGUAGCGCCUCGUGAAUUCAUCUUCGGGGGUAGAGCACUGUUUCGGCUAGGGGGUCAUCCCGACUUACCAACCCGAUGCAAACUACGAAUACCGAAGAAUGUUAUCACGGGAGACACACGGCGGGUGCUAACGUCCGUCGUGAAGAGGGAAACAACCCAGACCGCCAGCUAAGGUCCCAAAGUCAUGGUUAAGUGGGAAACGAUGUGGGAAGGCACAGACAGCCAGGAUGUUGGCUUAGAAGCAGCCAUCAUUUAAAGAAAGCGUAAUAGCUCACUGGUCGAGUCGGCCUGCGCGGAAGAUGUAACGGGGCUAAACCAUGCACCGAAGCUGCGGCAGCGACACUAUGUGUUGUUGGGUAGGGGAGCGUUCUGUAAGCCUGCGAAGGUGUGCUGUGAGGCAUGCUGGAGGUAUCAGAAGUGCGAAUGCUGACAUAAGUAACGAUAAAGCGGGUGAAAAGCCCGCUCGCCGGAAGACCAAGGGUUCCUGUCCAACGUUAAUCGGGGCAGGGUGAGUCGACCCCUAAGGCGAGGCCGAAAGGCGUAGUCGAUGGGAAACAGGUUAAUAUUCCUGUACUUGGUGUUACUGCGAAGGGGGGACGGAGAAGGCUAUGUUAGCCGGGCGACGGUUGUCCCGGUUUAAGCAUGUAGGCUGGUUAUCCAGGCAAAUCCGGAUAAUCAAGGCUGAGGUGUGAUGACGAGGCACUACGGUGCUGAAGUAACAAAUGCCCUGCUUCCAGGAAAAGCCUCUAAGCAUCAGGUAACAUCAAAUCGUACCCCAAACCGACACAGGUGGUCAGGUAGAGAAUACCAAGGCGCUUGAGAGAACUCGGGUGAAGGAACUAGGCAAAAUGGUGCCGUAACUUCGGGAGAAGGCACGCUGGUGUGUAGGUGAAGUCCCUGCGGAUGGAGCUGAGACCAGUCGAAGAUACCAGCUGGCUGCAACUGUUUAUUAAAAACACAGCACUGUGCAAACACGAAAGUGGACGUAUACGGUGUGACGCCUGCCCGGUGCCGGAAGGUUAAUUGAUGGGGUUAUCCGUAAGGAGAAGCUCUUGAUCGAAGCCCCGGUAAACGGCGGCCGUAACUAUAACGGUCCUAAGGUAGCGAAAUUCCUUGUCGGGUAAGUUCCGACCUGCACGAAUGGCGUAAUGAUGGCCAGGCUGUCUCCACCCGAGACUCAGUGAAAUUGAACUCGCUGUGAAGAUGCAGUGUACCCGCGGCAAGACGGAAAGACCCCGUGAACCUUUACUAUAGCUUGACACUGAACAUUGAGCCUUGAUGUGUAGGAUAGGUGGGAGGCUUUGAAGCGUGGACGCCAGUCUGCGUGGAGCCAACCUUGAAAUACCACCCUUUAAUGUUUGAUGUUCUAACGUUGGCCCCUUACCGGGGUUGCGGACAGUGUCUGGUGGGUAGUUUGACUGGGGCGGUCUCCUCCCAAAGCGUAACGGAGGAGCACGAAGGUUAGCUAAUCCUGGUCGGACAUCAGGAGGUUAGUGCAAUGGCAUAAGCUAGCUUGACUGCGAGCGUGACGGCGCGAGCAGGUGCGAAAGCAGGUCAUAGUGAUCCGGUGGUUCUGAAUGGAAGGGCCAUCGCUCAACGGAUAAAAGGUACUCCGGGGAUAACAGGCUGAUACCGCCCAAGAGUUCAUAUCGACGGCGGUGUUUGGCACCUCGAUGUCGGCUCAUCACAUCCUGGGGCUGAAGUAGGUCCCAAGGGUAUGGCUGUUCGCCAUUUAAAGUGGUACGCGAGCUGGGUUUAGAACGUCGUGAGACAGUUCGGUCCCUAUCUGCCGUGGGCGCUGGAGAAUUGAGGGGGGCUGCUCCUAGUACGAGAGGACCGGAGUGGACGCAUCACUGGUGUUCGGGUUGUCAUGCCAAUGGCACUGCCCGGUAGCUAAAUGCGGAAGAGAUAAGUGCUGAAAGCAUCUAAGCACGAAACUUGCCCCGAGAUGAGUUCUCCCUGAGACUUUAAGUCUCCUGAAGGAACGUUAAAGACGAUGACGUUGAUAGGCCGGGUGUGUAAGCGCAGCGAUGCGUUGAGCUAACCGGUACUAAUGAACCGUGAGGCUUAACCUUACAACGCCGAAG
rnacentral:rRNA from 1 species